rnacentral:rRNA from 1 species
GUGGGGAAUAUUGCACAAUGGGGGAAACCCUGAUGCAGCGACGCCGCGUGAGUGAAGAAGUAUUUCGGUACGUAAAGCUCUAUCAGCAAGGAAGAAAAUGACGGUACUUGACUAAGAAGCCCCGGCUAACUACGUGCCAGCAGCCGCGGUAAUACGUAGGGGGCAAGCGUUAUCCGGAUUUACUGGGUGUAAAGGGAGCGUAGACGGUAUGGUAAGUCAGAUGUGAAAGCCCGGGGCUAAACCCCGGGACUGCAUUUGAAACUAUCAGACUAGAGUGCAGGAGAGGUAAGUGGAAUUCCUAGUGUAGCGGUGAAAUGCGUAGAUAUUAGGAGGAACACCAGUGGCGAAGGCGGCUUACUGGACUGUAACUGACGUUGAGGCUCGAAAGCGUGGGGAGCAAACAGGAUUAGAUACCCGGGUAGUCC